GACAGAGGGGGCAAGCGUUGCUCGGAAUUACUGGGCGUAAAGGGCGCGUAGGCGGGAUGGCAAGUCGGUCGUGAAAUCCCUCGGCUCAACUGAGGAUCGUCGAUCGAUACUGCCGUUCUUGAGGACUGCAGAGGAGACUGGAAUUCCCGGUGUAGCGGUGAAAUGUGUAGAGAUCGGGAGGAACACCGGUGGCGAAGGCGGGUCUCUGGGCAAUUCCUGACGCUGAGGCGCGAAAGCGUGGGGAGCAAACGGG
rnacentral:rRNA from 1 species